GCCCGGGUGGUGGAAUUGGUAGACACGCAGGACUUAAAAUCCUGUGGUAGCAAUACUGUACGGGUUCAAGUCCCGUCUCGGGUA
rnacentral:tRNA from 1 species